AACGAACGCUGGCGGCAUGCCUAACACAUGCAAGUCGAACGAGACCUUCGGGUCUAGUGGCGCACGGGUGCGUAACGCGUGGGAACCUGCCUUUAGGUUCGGAAUAACUCAGAGAAAUUUGAGCUAAUACCGGAUGGUGUCUUCGGACCAAAGAUUUAUCGCCUUUAGAUGGGCCCGCGUUGGAUUAGCUAGUUGGUGGGGUAAAGGCCUACCAAGGCGACGAUCCAUAGCUGGUCUGAGAGGAUGAUCAGCCACACUGGGACUGAGACACGGCCCAGACUCCUACGGGAGGCAGCAGUGGGGAAUAUUGGACAAUGGGCGAAAGCCUGAUCCAGCAAUGCCGCGUGAGUGAUGAAGGCCUUAGGGUUGUAAAGCUCUUUUACCCGAGAUGAUAAUGACAGUAUCGGGAGAAUAAGCUCCGGCUAACUCCGUG
rnacentral:rRNA from 1 species